rnacentral:rRNA from 1 species
GGGGGAAAAAUUAAUAAUAAAUUAUAAAAAAAAAAUUUUUAAAAAUAUAUUUAAUGGGGGUUAAAGUAUAUAUAUAGAAAAAAUUUUAAGAUUUAUAGUGAAAUAGUAUUAUAAAAGAAUUUAGAAAUAGGGGAAAAUAAUUUGUAGGAAAGUAAAUUUAGUUUAUUGUAUCUUGUGUAUCAGAGUUUAUUAAUAAUAAUUAUAAAAUAAUAAUUUCUCGAAUUUAAAAGAGUUAAUUAAUUAUAAAAGUUAAUGUGGAAUAAUUAUUUUUAAUAAUUAAUUGGAAAUGAGAUGUUAAUCGUUUUUAAAAAUAUCUAGUUUUUUUAGAAAAAAAUUUAAUUUUAAAUAUUAAAUUUAAAAUUUUUAUUAUAAAAAUUUUUAUUGAUUAAUAUUAAAUAUUUUAAGGGAUAAGCUUUAAAAUAAAUUUUUAUAAUAAUUUUUUUUUAAUUAUAUUAAAAUUAUAAAAUUUAAAUUAUUUUAUAAAUUAUAAUUUUUUAUAAAUAAUUUAAUUUAAAUUAAAAUUUUAAAAAAAAUUUAAAUUUUUAUAAAAAAAUAUAUUUUAAUAGAAUAAAAUUAGAUAUAAUGAUAAAAUUAGUAUAUAAUUUUUUUAAGAAAAAAAAAAUUAUUAAAAGUUAAUAAAAGGAAUUCGGCAAAAUUUUAUAUUCACUUGUUUAUCAAAAACAUGUCUUUUUGAAAAUAAUUUAAAGUCUAAUCUGCCCACUGAUAAAAUAUUAAAGGGCUGCAGUAUUUUGACUGUACAAAGGUAGCAUAAUCAAUAGUCUCUUAAUUGGUGACUUGUAUGAAAGAUUGGAUGAGAUAUAUACUGUCUCUAAUUAAUUUAUAGAAAUUAAUUUUUUAGUAAAAAAGCUAAAAUAAUUUUAAAAGACGAGAAGACCCUAUAGAGUUUAAUAGUUUAUUUAAUUAUUAUUAAUAUAUAAUUUUUAAAAUUAAAAUUAAAUGAAUUAUUUUGUUGGGGUGAUAGAAAAAUUAAAUUAACUUUUUUUAAUUAUUAACAUUAAUUUAUGAUUAAAUGAUCCAUUUAUAAUGAUUAAAAGAAAAAAUUACCUUAGGGAUAACAGCGUAAUUUUUUUUUUUAGUUCAAAUAGGAAAAAAAGUUUGCGACCUCGAUGUUGGAUUAAGAUAAAAUUUAAAUGCAAAAGUUUAAAAUUUUGAUCUGUUCGAUCAUUAAAAUCUUACAUGAUCUGAGUUCAAACCGGUGUAAGCCAGGUUGGUUUCUAUCUUUAAAUAAUUAUAAUAUUUUAGUACGAAAGGAUCAAAUAUUAAAAAUAAUUUUAAUUAAAUGAAUAUUAUUAAUAGUUAAU